CGGGAACGUACACAAGCCUUGGAUCAGCUCCAGUGUCCACAGCAGAGAAAAGAAGUUGAAACUGAUCUUACUGUGGAUUUGCCAAGGAACGGGGAUGUUUUAGAAGACUUCAUCUAAUGUUCCCCUACUGGAUGAGCAUUUAGGAGAAGUAUACAACCAACAAUCCAUUCUGUCCAACACACCACCAACUGGAUAUUCUGACUGGACCCCGACUCUUCCUCACCCCAUCUCAUAUUUGUUUCAACU